rnacentral:rRNA from 1 species
GUGGGGAAUAUUGGACAAUGGGCGAAAGCCUGAUCCAGCCAUGCCGCGUGUGUGAAGAAGGUCUUCGGAUUGUAAAGCACUUUAAGUUGGGAGGAAGGGCAGUAAGUUAAUACCUUGCUGUUUUGACGUUACCGACAGAAUAAGCACCGGCUAACUUCGUGCCAGCAGCCGCGGUAAUACGAAGGGUGCAAGCGUUAAUCGGAAUUACUGGGCGUAAAGCGCGCGUAGGUGGUUUUGUAAGUUGGAGGUGAAAUCCCCGGGCUCAACCUGGGAACUGGCUCCAAAACUGCAUGACUAGAGUACGGGAGAGGGUAGUGGAAUUGCCUGUGUAGCGGUGAAAUGCGUAGAUAUAGGAAGGAACACCAGUGGCGGAGGCGACUACCUGGACUGAUACUGACACUGAGGUGCGAAAGCGUGGGGAGCAAACAGGAUUAGAAACCCCGGUAGUCC